rnacentral:rRNA from 1 species
UACGUAGGGACCAAGCGUUGUUCGGAUUUACUGGGCGUAAAGGGCGCGUAGGCGGCAAUUCAAGUCAGCUGUGAAAUCUCUGGGCUUAACUCGGAACGGUCAGCUGAUACUGCUUUGCUAGAGUGCAGAAGGGGCAAUCGGAAUUCUUGGUGUAGCGGUGAAAUGCGUAGAUAUCAAGAGGAACACCUGAGGUGAAGACGGGUUGCUGGGCUGACACUGACGCUGAGGCGCGAAAGCUAGGGUAGCAAACGGG